CUCCACAACCAGCAGAUGUGGGUCAUCGACAUGGUGUGUCUGCACAACAUGAACCUGGUUGGCGAUUGCGUCGACCGACCAGAAGACAGAGUUCUUUGAUAUCAGUAACCGUAAAUGUGUCCAGGCCUUCACCUUCAUCGAUCUGGACAGCUGCGUCCUGACCUUGAACUACUGGUCUGACUAUCACAGGGCUGUGUCCUGCGAUGGGGACACAAAAGGCAAUGUCGUCGUCUUCACCUCCAACGAUGUAACCAAUCGGCUGUUCAACCCCCACAUCCUCCCCAGGACCUCCAGAUGGGAUCACUGGACCAACGUUUCCACACGGAAGCUCUUAAAUGAGAAGUCCCCUAUGUAUAGAAGUUACUGGCUGAGGG